GCCUGUUCGAGCGUCAUUAUAACCAAUCACGCCUGGCGUGGUGUUGGGGCACGCGGUUCCGCGGCCUCAAAAGCAGUGGCGGCGCCGGUAGGCUCUAAGCGUAGUACAUCUCCUCGCUAUAGAGUCCUCCCAGUUGCUCGCCAGAACCCCCCACUUUUCAGGUUGACCUCGGAUCAGGUAGGGAUACCCGCUGAACUUAA
rnacentral:misc_RNA from 1 species